GACUUCGUAGCCCAACUGGCAGAGGCGUCGGUUUUAGAAACCGAAUGUUGCAGGUUCGAAUCCUGCCGGAGUCA
rnacentral:tRNA from 1 species